GGGUUGUGAGGUUAAGCGACUAAGCGUACACGGUGGAUGCCCUGGCAGUCAGAGGCGAUGAAGGGCGUGCUAAUCUGCGAUAAGCGCCGGUAAGGUGAUAUGAACCGUUAUAACCGGCGAUACCCGAAUGGGGAAACCCAGUGUGAUUCGUCACACUAUCAUUAACUGAAUCCAUAGGUUAAUGAGGCGAACCGGGGGAACUGAAACAUCUAAGUACCCCGAGGAAAAGAAAUCAACCGAGAUUCCCCCAGUAGCGGCGAGCGAACGGGGAGGAGCCCAGAGCCUGAAUCAGCAUGUGUGUUAGUGGAAGCGUCUGGAAAGGCGCGCGAUACAGGGUGACAGCCCCGUACACAAAAGCGCAUGUGCUGUGAGCUCGAUGAGUAGGGCGGGACACGUGGUAUCCUGUCUGAAUAUGGGGGGACCAUCCUCCAAGGCUAAAUACUCCUGACUGACCGAUAGUGAACCAGUACCGUGAGGGAAAGGCGAAAAGAACCCCGGCGAGGGGAGUGAAAAAGAACCUGAAACCGUGUACGUACAAGCAGUGGGAGCACAGGUUUACCUGUGUGACUGCGUACCUUUUGUAUAAUGGGUCAGCGACUUAUAUUCUGUAGCAAGGUUAACCGAAUAGGGGAGCCGGAGGGAAACCGAGUCUUAACCGGGCGUUAAGUUGCAGGGUAUAGACCCGAAACCCGGUGAUCUAGCCAUGGGCAGGUUGAAGGUUGGGUAACACUAACUGGAGGACCGAACCGACUAAUGUUGAAAAAUUAGCGGAUGACCUGUGGCUGGGGGUGAAAGGCCAAUCAAACCGGGAGAUAGCUGGUUCUCCCCGAAAGCUAUUUAGGUAGCGCCUCGUGAAUUCAUCUCCGGGGGUAGAGCACUGUUUCGGCUAGGGGGCCAUCCCGGCUUACCAACCCGAUGCAAACUGCGAAUACCGGAGAAUGUUAUCACGGGAGACACACGGCGGGUGCUAACGUCCGUCGUGAAGAGGGAAACAACCCAGACCGCCAGCUAAGGUCCCAAAGUCAUGGUUAAGUGGGAAACGAUGUGGGAAGGCCCAGACAGCCAGGAUGUUGGCUUAGAAGCAGCCAUCAUUUAAAGAAAGCGUAAUAGCUCACUGGUCGAGUCGGCCUGCGCGGAAGAUGUAACGGGGCUAAACCAU
rnacentral:rRNA from 1 species